rnacentral:tRNA from 2 species
GGGUCUGUAGUUCAAUUGGUUAGAGCACCGCCCUGUCACGGCGGAAGUUACGGGUUCGAGCCCCGCCAGACCCG